UUUCCAUCGGUUUCUUCUUUCUUCUACGGACUGUUUCUUUUGUUCUCACUGCACUCCCUCUCCUCCCAUCUCAGCGAUUGUUCGGUAUUCAUCUUGAGCCGACGUCAUCACUAGCGUGGUGCUUCAAUCGAUUUCUCAAGUUUGAGACUUUGUGCAUUUGUCUACUGCUUGCCUUCUCAAUUUUGGUGGCUGAGAGGGAAGAGUGUUGGUUCAGGGAGAGCGAGUAGAAAGAAAGCCAUCCUUGACAGCCGCAGAGGGAGAGAGAGAGAGAGAGAGAUAUUCAAGAAGCGAAAAUCUGGGUUGCUCUUCUCAAUCAAAUUGUCAAGACCACAAUAAAGUUCCUUGGUUUGCUGAGUUCUCCUUUGGUUUGAUCAAAGGCUGUGGUUUUGGUGGAUUUCGACGAGUGAGGAUUGCAGGCUUUGUUUGUGCUACAGUUUCAACUCUGGGCAAUUGAUUGCAAUACCUUCAAGGUUAGAGCUGCUGAGCUUCGGCAAAUACUAGUAGAACUUGGACCGGCGUAUAUCAAAAUCGCUCAGGCUAUUUCGUCUCGACCUAAAGAAAAUUUCAGUCGAUCCUCGCCGGAGUUAGAUUCAGAAUGCGGAGGUCGAUUGCGAGUCUGGGUGGGUCCCUCGUCAAAAGCCGAGGGUUUAGCACGAGCUCGUCGCCGGAGAAAAUCGUCGCGUCCGUACUCUUCGAGAGGCUCCCGGUUGUUAUUCCCAAAAUCGACCCCAUCGUCUAUGCAUUUCAGGAGUUCUCGUUUCGGUGGCGACAGCAAUAUCGACGCAGAUAUCCAGAUGAACUUUUAGACAAGUCUAAUGCUAGGGGAAAAGGAGACUACCAAAUUGAUUAUGUACCAGCUCCACGGAUCACUGAAGCUGACAAACAAAAUGAUAGAAAGUCAUUGCAGAGAGCACUUGACAGUAGACUUUAUCUUCUUAUCUAUGGUAACACACAUGGAUCUCCUAAUGGAAAGCCAGUCUGGCAUUUUCCAGAAAAAGUGUACGAGUCUGAGGAGACAUUGCGGAAGUGUGCAGAAUCUGCAUUACUGUCUGUCCUAGGUGAUCUGUCCCACACAUAUUUUGUUGGAAAUGCUCCUAUGGGACAUAUUGCAAUGGAGUCAUCAGCGAAUGUGACCGACUCUCCAUCUUUCAAGCAAUUCUUUUUCAAGUCUCAAGUGAUUGCAACAAACAAGUUAAAAAUUGGGAAGUGUGAGGAUUUUGUUUGGGUGACCAAGGAUGAAUUGAUGGAAUAUUUUCCUGAGAAAGCUGAGUUCCUCAGCAAGAUGAUCAUUAGCUGAUCUGCCAUAUGUAAUCUCUUUUUGCAUAAAAUCUUUGCAAUUCAGACUAGGAAUUUAUAUCGACUGUUGAUUAAAGAGUGAAACCUGACAUAGUGAAUCUUAGGCUGAAUCUUAGGCUGUAGAAUGCUGCAAUUAAAGUUUGUUGUGGGGCUUGCUGUUUACUGGCUGAAGCGUGGCUCAGUACUGGAAUUUUUGGAUAGUUGUUGCUUCAAUGCUGCCCCUUCUGGAUUUUUCAUGUAUUUUCCCUCCCUUUUUUCCCCCUGGUCUAUGUACUCUGCAUACACAAUUGGUUCUGCUAUGUAAUCUUCUUCUAGGUGGUUACGAUAGCUCUCAUCAAAGGUAGACGCCUCCACCGCACGUCCUCCCCACUUACCGCACAUCCAACAGUGAGCCGCUGUAGGCUGCAAUAACUCAUAACCACACAAGUCACAUAUUACUAGAUAGUCAGGGCCAACAGUUGCACCAGGUGGAACACACUCCAAUAAGGGCAACUAAUAAUGUGUUGGUGAUCAUCACCACAAAUCUGCCAUCCUUCUUUUUUGAUGACUCUGGCGGCAGCCUUUAGAUCUUCUUCAGAGUACUUCUCCUUCUCCUUGCCCACUGCUGGUCUCACUGUGAUUCCAGAAGCAUCCAUAUCUAGGGUUAUUUUGGUGCUGGGGUGAAUGAGAUCAAGUGGUCACGGAUGUACAAUCUUCUUCUAGUCUAUCUUGAAGGUAGGUAUUUAUAGACAAAACAUAAUCCUAUCCUAUUAGGAAUAGAAAUCCUAAUCAAACUAGUAUAACACGUCUUAAACUAGGAAACAUGUAUAUUGCAAUUUACCUCCCUCAAGCUGAGAAUGCAUGAAAUAAUUUUUCCUCCGUAGUACA